GACGUAGGGGACGAGCGUUGUCCGGAUUCAUUGGGCGUAAAGCGCGCGUAGGCGGUUCGGUAAGUCGGGUGUGAAAACACGAGGCUCAACCUCGUGCGUGCAUCCGAUACUGCCGGACUAGAGGUAGGUAGGGGAGAUCGGAAUUCCUGGUGUAGCGGUGAAAUGCGCAGAUAUCAGGAGGAACACCGGUGGCGAAGGCGGAUCUCUGGGCCUUACCUGACGCUCAGGCGCGAAAGCGUGGGGAGCGAACAGG
rnacentral:rRNA from 1 species